UACGAAGGGGGCUAGCGUUGCUCGGAAUCACUGGGCGUAAAGCGCACGUAGGCGGAUUGUUAAGUCAGGGGUGAAAUCCUGGAGCUCAACUCCAGAACUGCCUUUGAUACUGACGGUCUUGAGUUCGGGAGAGGUGAGUGGAACUGCGAGUGUAGAGGUGAAAUUCGUAGAUAUUCGCAAGAACACCAGUGGCGAAGGCGGCUCACUGGCCCGAUACUGACGCUGAGGUGCGAAAGCGUGGGAGCAACA
rnacentral:rRNA from 1 species